GCCGACGUAGCUCAGUUGGCAGAGCACUCGCCUUGUAAGCGAGCUGUCAUGGGUUCGAAUCCCAUCGUCGGCU
rnacentral:tRNA from 1 species